AAACUGAAUCAUUUCAAUGGGCAACACAUUUACAUAUAUAUUAUUUCCCCCUGAGCGAGGACGUUGCAGUGUUUAAGUUUUAGCACAUAUUAUAUAUGUAUAUGGAUCUCAUAAAUAUAUAAUAUACCUCAGUUUAUGCGCUUUGAGCCACAUUUAAUGGCGGCUCAUUAAUCAAAAGGUAAAGCAGAUGUUACCAUAACGAUCGGCCACAGGAAUUAACCAUAUUUGUCGAGAAAUAUCAGACGGAAAUUUAUGCAGUCAAAUGUGGAAGCUGCAGGGCCAGCAAGUCCAACGCUUUGCACCUCUUUUGCUGCUUACUCUUUGCUCGCAAAUUUGACCCCCAAAACUGAAAAAAAAUGAAACCAGCACAUAUAAAUACCAAGAAAGAGUCUAAAAUGUGAUGCAAGCGAUCCAAUGUGCCGUGUGGCUCUGCUUUUAGCCAAACAAGUUUCUCGGUUAAUAACACUUUCGCCUGCGCCUGCGUAUUCUACCAGCCAAAAAUGUAGGUCAACUGCGAACACGAACUCAGCAACACGCACGUAAUACCCAUCUGCUGAGUUAACCCAACAACAUUUAGAGGUGACAUAAGAGAUCUCGAGAACAGGCUGAGAAUAUGCCUCAAAUGUGAUUAAGAUAAUGGCUUAUACCUUAUUAUAUAAUGUCAAAUACGAAGAAUCUGACCUUUAAACAAAAAGUCGUACUUAAAAGUCCCACAAACUGGAAUUGGUGACUUCAAAGGGUUAACAACGUCAACGAACAGCAGCGCAUCAACUGCAUUAACUCAAUGCCGCGUGCAUGUGUAACCAGUUCCUCGUUAUCCUUCAACACACAAAACGUAGCGAACAAAGUUUUGGUAUAUAGUUACAUAUAGUAUGUG